CUUACAAAAGCCCCCCGCUUACACCGAGGAAAUGUCUGUUAAACCCGGAUCAUCUUGAG
rnacentral:tRNA from 1 species